AUGCCGCGUGUGUGAAGAAGGCCUUCGGGUUGUAAAGCACUUUCGGUUGUGAGGAAAAGUUAGUAGUUAAUACCUGCUAGCCGUGACGUUAACAACAGAAAAAGCACCGGCUAACUCCGUGCCAGCAGCCGCGGUAAUACGGAGGGUGCGAGCGUUAAUCGGAAUUACUGGGCGUAAAGCGCACGCAGGCGGUUUGUUAAGCUAGAUGUGAAAGCCCCGGGCUCAACCUGGGAUGGUCAUUUAAAACUGGCAAACUAGAGUCUUGGAGAGGGGAGUGGAAUUCCAGGUGUAGCGGUGAAAUGCGUAGAUAUCUGGAGGAACAUCAGUGGCGAAGGCGACUCCCUGGCCAAAGACUGACGCUCAUGUGCGAAAGUGUGGGUAGCGAACAGGAUUAGAUACCCUGGUAGUCCACACCGUAAACGCUGUCUACUAACUGUGUGUGUCUUUAAGGCCGUUGUAGCGGAACUUAACCCCUUAAUAAACCCCCCUGGGAAUAACGGCCCCAGGGUUAAACUUCAAUGGAUUUGACGGGGGCCCGA
rnacentral:rRNA from 2 species